AAGAUUCACACUCCGGAUAGAGAAACCACGAUAAUCACACACAAAAAACGUAAAUCGCAUUACCCAAAACAUCUCAUAAUAAUGCAUAAUACACAUUGUGUAUCUAGGUCCCCUCUGUUUUAGUAACCCCGAUUCAGCGCCGACGGUUCGCAAGGCUGCGCCGGCGCCGACCGCGUGGGGUGCGCGCAGUCCGCCCCGAGCCGUCGCACGCGCGCGCCGAGUCGCGCACAUCGAAACUUUUGCUGAUCAGAAACUUUUGAUCUAAUUACAAUCGCGGAACACAAUAAUUAUAACCUCUAAUGACAUGUUUCUACGAAUCAGUCUGUGAAAAAGUUACAAUUAGAUGCUAAACUGACAUCAAAAUUACUUCUCGUGUUUGUGUCGUAACGCAGUUUACAAUCGAAGAGUCUUGAACUUGGGUGCAUCGAGGAAGAUCGUGGGAGCGUGCAACAAUCGACAGUAACAAGAUACUUGCACUGCCUAAUGCCUAUGACAUAUGACUUUCGAACUGCGUCACAUUAGUGAUAUUGCGUGUCUGAUGUACUGAGUCGUUAGUGCAGUGAGUGUUCUGUGGGGAAUUUUGAUAGUGCUGUGUCAAGAGGCGGGAGAAGGGUGCUUAGAAGAUACUGUUUGCUACAAGUGUUCUGAAGUUAUCGAAAUGAACGUUCGAGAAACGAGCAGCUUCAGCAACCAGUUCGAUGUGGUCUAACAUGGUCGCUCCCCGUCGUCCUCCAACCAGCUACAAGCCAAUGAAAAGAAGCAAACCGCCAGACAAGCACCGAACACUAGCACUAUCACAGCUUUAACUGAUGUGACUUCAACACACUACCCCAAAA